rnacentral:rRNA from 1 species
AGAGUUUGAUCAUGGCUCAGAACGAACGCUGGCGGCAGGCUUAACACAUGCAAGUCGAACGAACUCUUCGGAGUUAGUGGCAGACGGGUGAGUAACGCGUGGGAAUAUACCUUUCGGUACGGAACAACAGUUGGAAACGGCUGCUAAUACCGUAUACGCCCUAUGGGGGAAAGAUUUAUCGCCGAGGGAUUAGCCCGCGUUAGAUUAGCUAGUUGGUGAGGUAAUGGCUCACCAAGGCGACGAUCUAUAGCUGGUCUGAGAGGAUGAUCAGCCACACUGGGACUGAGACACGGCCCAGACUCCUACGGGAGGCAGCAGUGGGGAAUAUUGGACAAUGGGGGCAACCCUGAUCCAGCCAUGCCGCGUGAGUGAUGAAGGCCCUAGGGUUGUAAAGCUCUUUCAGCGAGGAGGAUAAUGACGUUACUCGCAGAAGAAGCCCCGGCUAACUUCGUGCCAGCAGCCGCGGUAAUACGAAGGGGGCUAGCGUUGUUCGGAAUCACUGGGCGUAAAGCGCACGUAGGCGGAUUGGUCAGUUAGGGGUGAAAUCCCGGAGCUCAACUCCGGAACUGCCUUUAAUACUGCCAGUCUUG